rnacentral:lncRNA from 1 species
CUUCCGUGUGUGUAUGUACACACACAUGCAUGCACACAAUUAAAUCAGGCUCUCUUUUUCUAGUUAAAUAAACCCCACACUUGCCAAAGGAACAAAUAGUUGGCCUAUUGCCAAAGAAAAUGUGCCUCUGGGCUUCUGGUUUUGGAGGUUUUGCAGUGUUUACUUUCCAGUGAUCUCCACUUGACUCCUUACCUCUUUCAUUUGGUUGUAAAUACCACAAUUUAAACUAGCUACCUGCUGCUGUGACCCUGCAUGGGAGGUUGUCUUGACAGAUGUGGCAGGCUUCCCUGGCCCCUUCCUCCUCUAGGAAACCUGUCAAGCACAAUGCCUGCUGUGGGAGCCACCUUCUCCAACUGACACCGCCUGACCCCAGCUUCCAGCUCACUCCCCGCUCUGUGAAGGAAGCAGCUCCAGCCUCUCUCUCAUCGGAUGGUGAAGAUACUUCCCUAAAGCUCCCAUCCGACCACAUCAUUCCUCUGCUCAGAUCCUUUGAUGGAUGCUUGUAAGAGGAAAGAUGGUUCCUGUUUAUUCACCAGAUAGGGUUCCAGGGGUGAUGCCAAGUGCCUGAUGGAAAGACGAAUGUCAAGGAGCCUGCAGGCCACUCAGCAGCAAGGCAGGAAUGCAUCGUGGAGGCAGGACCAUGACCUCUGUUGGGGAGCAGAUGCUGGAGAACAGCUCCGACUCCUCCCAGCACUGAUGCUGCCUUCCCACGAGCACCUGUGGAUUCCUCCCAGCCUGGCUCCUGCUUUGACUGCAGGAUUUGCUCCGUCUCCUCUCCAAUGAUGCCUCCAUCUUUGCUCAGGUCUGAAUUCUCAUUACCCUUCCCUCCAGCCCCCAGCUCAGACAUGAUCUCCUUUCUGGCUUCUCCUGAGGUUUAAUAGCUGUCCGUCCUCUCCCUGCCCCAGACAUUUCCUGAUAUGACCAGGCAGAACUCCCCAGCUGCUCUUCCAGGAGAGAAGCUCUGUCAAUCCAUCAUGAUAACCUCUCAGUGUCUCGCACAGCGUGGGCUUCAAUUCAUAUAUGUGGAAAUUGGGCAAAAAUUGAGAAAGUCCCCGUGGAAAGAGUUGUCUGAGGAGGUGACAAAGGAAGGCUUAAUAUAAUAGAGCUCCCCUUCCCAGGGGUUAUGUUACAAGACUCCCCAGUGGAUGCAUGGAACCUCAGAUCGUACCGAACCCUAUUGUCUGAGUCUGUUCUUGUUGCUCUAAAGGAAUACAGAAGGCUGGCAAUUUAUAAAGGAAAGUGGCUUCUUUGGCUCAUGAUUCUGAUGGCUGGAAAAUGUCAAGAUCGGGCAUUAGCAUCUGGCAAGGACCACGGGCUGCUUCCACUCUCAGUAGAAGGUGAAGGGAGCCAGUGAGUGCAGAAGUUAUGCCCGAGAGAGGAGGCAAGGGAGAGAGGGGAGGUGCCAGGCUCUUUUUAACAGCCAGCUCUCAAGGGAACUAACAGAGCAAGAACUCCCCACUCUCUCAGGGGAGGGCAUUAAUCUAUUCCCGAGGGAUUCGCCCCCAUGACCCAAGCACCUCCCAUUAGGCUCCACCUCCAACAUUGGGGAUCAAAUUUCAACAUGCAGUUUGCAGGACAAACAUCCUAACGAUAACGCCUACGGGCCUCUAUGUUGCUGUUUCCUCUGCACAUACAUACCUAAUACGAAGUUGAGUUAAUAAAUUGGGCACAGUAAGAGAUUAACAAUAACAAUAAAAUAGAACAAUUUAUGACAAUAUA